GUCCAUUUGGAGAUAUAAAUGGUCUGGCCUGCUCACUGAUAAGAGAAUUUAAGAGCCGCGGUAUAUUGACCGUGCAAAGGUAGCAUAAUCAUUAGGGGUUUAAUUGGAACCUAGAAUGAAGGGUUGGACAAAGGAAAGACUGUCUUUAUGUUGAAAGUUGAAUUUUACUUUUAAGUGAAAAGGCUUAAAUAUAUCAAAGGGACGAUAAGACCCUAUAAAGCUUUAUAGAUAACUUAAAUUUGGUUGAUUUAAAAAUAAAAACCGAGUUUAAUUAUUCUAUUUUGUUGGGGUGAUAUGAGUAUAAUUAUUAUUAACUGCUUAAGAAAAAUACUAAUAUAAGAGAAUUAUAUAGUGCAUGAUCCUUUUUAAAGAUUAAAAGGCUAAGUUACUUUAGGGAUAACAGCGUUAUUUCUUUUGAGAGUUCAUAUCGAAAAAGAAGAUUGCGACCUCGAUGUUGAAUUAAAAUAUCUAUAUAAUGCAGCCGUUAUAAAAGAGGGUCUGUUCGACCUUUAAAUUUUU
rnacentral:rRNA from 1 species